rnacentral:rRNA from 1 species
AGUGAACGCUGGCGGCAGGCCUAAUACAUGCAAGUCGAACGGCAGCACAGCAGAGCUUGCUCUGUGGGUGGCGAGUGGCGGACGGGUGAGGAAUACAUGGGAAUCUGCCCAGUCGUGGGGGAUAACGUAUGGAAACGUACGCUAAUACCGCAUGCGCCCUACGGGGGAAAGUCGGGGACCGCAAGGCCUGACGCGAUUGGAUGAGCCCAUGUUCGAUUAGCUAGUUGGCGGGGUAAAGGCCCACCAAGGCGACGAUCGAUAGCUGGUCUGAGAGGAUGAUCAGCCACACUGGAACUGAGACACGGCCCAGACUCCUACGGGAGGCAGCAGUAGGGAAUAUUGGACAAUGGGGGCAACCCUGAUCCAGCCAUGCCGCGUGAGUGAAGAAGGCCCUCGGGUUGUAAAGCUCUUUUGUCCGGAAAGAAAAGCAAUCGGUUAAUACCCGGUUGUUCUGACGGUACCGGAAGAUAAGCACCGGCUAACUUCGUGCC